rnacentral:rRNA from 1 species
UGAAAUUCGCCUGCAUGAAGCCGGAAUUGCUAGUAAUGGCAGGUCAGCAUACUGCCGUGAAUACGUUCCCGGGCCUUGUACACACCGCCCGUCACACCAUGAGAGUUGGGGAUACCCAAAGCCCGUGAGCCAACUGUAAAGAGGCAGCGGUCUAAGGUAGAAUCAAUGAUUGGGGUGAAGUCGUAACAAGGUACC